AUGUCAUUAUCAUUACCUAACCAUAUAACAGAUUUAAUUUAGGAAUUUGUUGUCAAGGGAUAUAUUCAAAGGUAAAAAGCGGAGAGUUAUCCACAGGAAGAUAAUAGAGGAGAACAACCAAUGUGGCAAUACAAAACAAUCAAAUAAGAACCGACUAAGUUAAGGGAAACAGAACUUACGGUUGCUUCCGAACAUUUUUCUUCAGCAAAAUAAAGCCAAUAGUGCGUAUUCGUUAACCUGGAAUGUGAACAGCAAGAGAUUAUGAGAAAAACUCCACUAACAAAUUCAAAAACAACAAAAGUAUGAAAUCAUAAACUAUUCAAAGCAUCAAUAAAAGAAAUUUAAUGCAGACAUAUACUAUCUCAAACACUCGCAUCCCUAUCAUGGCAAUCAGUUCAGUGAACGAAUAAACACCGAGGUAUCGUCAUUAUUAUAAUUUGCCUCAAUACAAACGACAUUGGGACGAUAGAAACAUUAGUAACACGAUAUAAUGCGGUAAACGGACAAAUCAAAAAACAGUAGUUUUGUAUAAUUUCAAAGUCCAAACUUACCAUCACCCCUUACUUUUUACCAACUAUGCCCCUUUAACAUCAUCACAAAACACUCUCUGCAAAACCAAUCCAUCCUUGUUCAUUUCUCACAAAUUCAAUCAACAUUUCGCAAGAAAGAGGAGUUUCAAGUGCUGAGCUAAUUCCAGCCUCCACCAAAUUUCAAGCAACCAAACAUCAGCAAGUUUUCCAAAGGUUUUUAACUUUUAAAUUUCUGUAACUUCAGUUCUAAUUUCAGCUAUAACACACAUCUCGAUAUAUAUACACAUAUAUUUCAAAUGAAACCAAAAUGCCGUACAUGAAUAACAGCUGCAUAUGUGUAUAUUUUGUGUAUAGCAGAACAAAGAUUUCAAAAGGAAUGACAACUUCACAAAUAGUUUUAAAGAAAAGAACUUUGACUUGAAUAAUCUGGAUUUUAGCUUUUGAACUCUAUUUUGUGAUGCUUGAGUCGAACUGAGUCGGUGGGUACCGAGUUGAGUCGGAUGGGUGUUGUUGUAGCUGCUGAGCCGAGUCAGGGAAGGUGGGCAACAGCCUCAGGGCUUUGUUUUAUCACCGGAGUUCAGAGGGAAGAGAUGGAGGGAGACCGGGCGUCGACUGUGGUGGCACGGCUGCUGCUGUAGUCUGUCCGGCGAGGCUUUGAGAUGAGGGAGAACGGAUGGAGGCAGCGCUGCGUAGGGGCGGCGUCGUUGCCAGAAAUUGAGAGGAGCCGUGAUUGGGGCUAGGGCUCAGACGGCGGAGUCCCUCACCGUCGCCGUUCUGGGUCAGAGAGGAGGCGAGAGCAGAGGGGUAAGGGAGAUGAGGCGGUGACCGUGGCGGCGGUUGCUGCCGCCGAGAAAGAGAGGGAUAUGGGGCGCCGGUGUGGCCGGAGAUGAGGGAGAAGAUGAAGGGAGUCGGGAGAGGGGCGGCGUGUGUGGGUCCGUGUGUGUGUGGCCAACCUUGAGUGAAAUAGAGUCGAGGGAGUCGGGAGAGGAGUGGCCGGCGGCGUUCGUGGCCGGAGGAGGAGCCGUGGCGGCGAGGUUCUGAGAGAGGGCCGGAUUCAGUAAGGUUUGAGAGAGAUUAGAGAGAGGGCGAGUUGUGGUGCUGAGGGAGAGAUUGAAACCUAUCUUGUGAGUUGUGACUUGUGA
rnacentral:lncRNA from 1 species